GAUGAACGCUGACAGUAUGCUUAACACAUGCAAGUCGAUGGGGAAGUGGUGCUUGCCCCGUGGUAACCAUGGCGGACGGGCGAGUAACGCGUAAGUACCUUGCCUGCUGGACUGGGAUAACAGCAGGAAACUGCUGAUAAUACCUGAUAAGGCCAUUAAGCUGCGUGGCUUAGCGAUGAAAGGGGACGCCUGCGGAGAGCCUUGCGUCCUAUUUGCUAGUGGGAGGGGUAACGGCCCACCAAGGCGAAGUUAGGUAGCCGGCCUGAGAGGUGGGACGGCCAAGAGGGGAAUGAGAGACAGCAGUUACGACUACGGGAGGAAGCAGUGAAGAAUAGUGGAGCAUGGCGGCGACGGUGAUGAAGCAAUUCUGUGUGCACAGAGACGGUUUUCGGAAUGAAAAGUACUUUCAGAAGGGAAGAAGGAAGUGACGGUACCUGCAGAAGAAGCGACGGCUAAAUACGUG
rnacentral:rRNA from 1 species